rnacentral:rRNA from 1 species
CACACGACUCUCGGCAACGGAUAUCUCGGCUCCCGCAUCGAUGAAGAACGUAGCGAAAUGCGAUACCUGGUGUGAAUUGCAGAAUCCCGCGAACCAUCGAGUCUUUGAACGCAAGUUGCGCCCGAGGCCAUUCGGCCGAGGGCACGCCUGCCUGGGCGUCACGC